GCGGCAUGCUUUACACAUGCAAGUCGAACGGUAACAGGGAGCUUGCUCCGCUGACGAGUGGCGAACGGGUGAGUAAUAUAUCGGAACGUACCCAAGAGUGGGGGAUAACGUAGCGAAAGUUACGCUAAUACCGCAUACGAUCUAUGGAUGAAAGCAGGGGACCUUCGGGCCUUGUGCUCCUGGAGCGGCCGAUAUCUGAUUAGCUAGUUGGUGAGGUAAAGGCUCACCAAGGCGACGAUCAGUAGCUGGUCUGAGAGGACGACCAGCCACACUGGAACUGAGACACGGUCCAGACUCCUACGGGAGGCAGCAGUGGGGAAUUUUGGACAAUGGGCGCAAGCCUGAUCCAGCAAUGCCGCGUGAGUGAAGAAGGCCUUCGGGUUGUAAAGCUCUUUUGUCAGGGAAGAAACGGCUGUGGCUAAUAUCCACGGCUAAUGACGGUACCUGAAGAAUAAGCACCGGCUAACUACGUGCCAGCAGCCGCGGUAAUACGUAGGGUGCAACCGUUAAUCGGAAUUACUGGGCGUAAAGCGUGCGCAGGCGGUUUUGUAAGUCUGUCGUGAAAUCCCCGGGCUCAACCUGGGAAUUGCGAUGGAGACUGCAAGGCUAGAAUCUGGCAGAGGGGGGUAGAAUUCCACGUGUAGCAGUGAAAUGCGUAGAGAUGUGGAGGAACACCGAUGGCGAAGGCAGCCCCCUGGGUCAAGAUUGACGCUCAUGCACGAAAGCGUGGGGAGCAAACAGGAUUAGAUACCCUGGUAGUCCACGCCCUAAACGAUGUCUACUAGUUGUCGGGUUUUAAUUAACUUGGUAACGCAGCUAACGCGUGAAGUAGACCGCCUGGGGAGUACGGUCGCAAGAUUAAAACUCAAAGGAAUUGACGGGGACCCGCACAAGCGGUGGAUGAUGUGGAUUAAUUCGAU
rnacentral:rRNA from 1 species